rnacentral:rRNA from 1 species
UGUAACAGAGCAGGUAUCAGGCUCAACAGCGUUAGCCCCUCACACCUUGCCAAGCCACAUCCCCACGGAUAAAACAGCAGUGACUAAUUUUAGGCAAUAAGCACAUCAAACUUGACCUAGCUAAAAUUCUUCUGGCCGGCAAAUCUCGUGCCAGCAGCCGCGGUUACACGGGAGACCAAAGAUAGCACAUUAACGGCGUAAAGAGUGACCACAGAUACCCCCAACCUCUACCUGGACCCCGAAACUUUAUCUCAGAGAUGAAAUCCUAAGAUAUUGAGAACCCCCCAGCAUCCACAAACAGGCCAUCUAACUCACGAAAAUCAGGUUACAAACUAGGAUU